UACGUAGGCAGCAAGCGUUGUUCGGAGUUACUGGGCGUAAAGCGUGCGCAGGCGGUGAUGUAAGACAGGUGUGAAAUCCCCGGGCUUAACCUGGGAACUGCAUUUGUGACUGCAUCGCUGGAGUGCGGCAGAGGGGGAUGGAAUUCCGCGUGUAGCAGUGAAAUGCGUAGAUAUGCGGAGGAACACCGAUGGCGAAGGCAAUCCCCUGGGCCUGCACUGACGCUCAUGCACGAAAGCGUGGGGAGCAAACAGG
rnacentral:rRNA from 1 species